UGGGGAAUAUUGGACAAUGGGCGCAAGCCUGAUCCAGCCAUGCCGCGUGUGUGAAGAAGGCCUUUUGGUUGUAAAGCACUUUAAGCGAGGAGGAGGCUACUUGGAUUAAUACUCUAGGAUAGUGGACGUUACUCGCAGAAUAAGCACCGGCUAACUCUGUGCCAGCAGCCGCGGUAAUACAGAGGGUGCGAGCGUUAAUCGGAUUUACUGGGCGUAAAGCGUGCGUAGGCGGCUUCUUAAGUCGGAUGUGAAAUCCCUGAGCUUAACUUAGGAAUUGCAUUCGAUACUGGGAAGCUAGAGUAUGGGAGAGGAUGGUAGAAUUCCAGGUGUAGCAGUGAAAUGCGUAGAGAUCUGGAGGAAUACCGAUGGCGAAGGCAGCCAUCUGGCCUAAUACUGACGCUGGGGUACGAAAGCAUGGGGAGCAAACAGG
rnacentral:rRNA from 1 species